GAUUUGUCGGGUUCGCUGCACGUGCAUCUGGGCCAAGUCUAGGGUUAUGUCUCCCGGGAGCAGACUGUUCCCAAGACUCUGUUCCCUCAAUAACUGAGGUCUUUUGACUAUGAAUUUAUUUUCUCCGUUAUUGACGUGCGUGUGGUCUAAACAAAAGCCUCCGAAAUUCAGCAGCCCUCCACCUUUCCUGUUCCAUUUUCUUUUCCCAGGAACAAACAUUUCAGUUCUUUGAGCGGAUUCUUUGACAGGUACCCCCCAUUUCUCUAAAAAUCACACUUUUACAUUGCUUCUUGUCGAUAUUCAGGUGUGGGUGAGAGGAGUUAGCACCUCCAUCGGCACCUCCCAUCCCUCUGCUGUCCCACGCAUGUCAGUCAGUGUCAGCAUCGAUGCUCUUCUGACCACAUAAGUGCUGCUGGCAGCUGACCCACUGAGUGUACUCCAGGCGCCUUGCCUUUCCUGCCCCGGAGUUGAUGUUUGUCCAGAUUCCUGUUGGCUCAGCGUCUUGUGUACUAAUGGUAAUGGGGCUCCGGGCCCCCUCCAGCCGGGUGAGUCUCCUCCCAGGGCACUCACACCAGCCAGUCUGUAGCUCAUCUUCUUGAAAAGCUGUCUCUCCCUUCCCUCCCCCUGUGGGCUCCCUGUUUCCUGAUCCUGUGUCUUACUCUGCCUUUGUUUACUCUGCCUUGACAGAGCAGAUCCUCCAAUAGUUUUCUGAAAAAAUUAGCGCUAAAGAAAUAAUUUGGGAGGACUUGCAUGUCUCAAAGUACCUUUAUUUUGUCUACUAUAACUAGAAACUUAAGACCCUUAACUCUCAGGGCGCCUGGGUGGCUCAGUCAGUUAAGCGUCCAAUUUGGGCUCAGGGCAGACUCUCGUGGUUCAUUGGCUUGAGCCCCUCCUGGGCCUCACUGGGCUUGCCAUGCACUCUCGUGUGUGUGCUCGCACUCUCUCUCUCGCUCUCUCUCUCUCUCUCUCUCUCAAAAAUAAAAAAACUUAAAAAAAAAAAAAGAGGACCCUUAAUUCUCAGAAAUUCUAUUAUGUCUUUGAUUUCUUCUCUCCUGUUUUCUCUGUUCUCUGUGGGUCUUUUUUUCCCAGAAGCUGGCCCCCUCUGUUUUUGUUUUUGUUUUUAUUUUAUUUUUUAACUUCUCCUUUCCAUUGUGUUUUCUUGUUGCUCUUCUUUCAGAUAUAUUUCCUUAACUUCUUCUGUUUCCUUUUUUUUUUCCCUUUGAGUAGGCUCCACACCCAACGUGGGGUUUGAACUCAUAACCCUGAAAUCAAGAGUGUCAUGUUCCACCCACUGAGCCAGCCAGGCACUCCCUCCUCAACUCUUAAUCCUCCUAUCGUGUUUCGUUUAUCCUGUCAUUUUUAACUUCCAUGAGCUCAUUUGCUUUUCGAAUGUUCCUUUCCUUAUAGCAACCCGUUCUUGUUUCCUAGGUACAGUCUCUCUGCUGUUGCUGCGAGGUUUCAGGAGUGUAAUCCGUUCCGUCUGCGUCUCUAAUGCACGGAGGCACUGCCUUUCCUGCUGCGAUGCCUCCACUCUUAGGACCCUCAGCUGCUACCUCUCCGUGACUUCCUCGUCCGUCACUUCCAGCCCCGGUUGUCUUCUUCUCAGGACCGCUUCCUGGGUCCUCCACCGAUGGCAUCAACCAUCUCCCGCCCACCCUGGCAGUUUACUUCAACUCUUUGGACCCCGAGUAAACCAUCGUAUCUUAAAAGAAAUAAGUGGUACUGUGAGACAGUGAUGUCAAAACAAGGAGUUGGUUAUUCACAGACAGAGGUUUACACAUCAGGUGGGACUUGGUGGAUGAGGCGAAGAAGUUGUUUUUAAAAACCUUGAAAUAGAUAAAGGGCCCAAAUGUUGUUCAUUUACUCUUUAAACCCAUUCUUGGAAACUUGGCAGUGGUAUUUUUACCUAUUUAAUACUAAAUAUGAAUGCCAUUUCAGAAGUGUUUUUAGUUAGUAAUUCUUAGUGACCCCGGUUGUGUUCAUUAUUAAACACACGAUACUUACCACC